rnacentral:rRNA from 1 species
AAUCUGCCUUAGGAGGGGGACAACAGUUGGAAACGACUGCUAAUACCCCAUAUGCCGAGAGGUGAAACAUUAAUGGCCUGAGGAGGAGCUCGCGUCUGAUUAGCUAGUUGGUGGGGUAACGGCCUACCAAGGCGACGAUCAGUAGCUGGUCUGAGAGGAUGAUCAGCCACACUGGGACUGAGACACGGCCCAGACUCCUACGGGAGGCAGCAGUGGGGAAUUUUCCGCAAUGGGCGAAAGCCUGACGGAGCAAGACCGCGUGAGGGAGGAAGGUCUGUGGAUUGUAAACCUCUUUUCUCAGGGAAGAAGAACUGACGGUACCUGAGGAAUCAGCAUCGGCUAACUCCGUGCCAGCAGCCGCGGUAAUACGGAGGAUGCAAGCGUUAUCCGGAAUUAUUGGGCGUAAAGCGUCCGUAGGUGGCUAAGCAAGUCUGCUGUUAAAGAGCGGAGCUAAACUCCGUAAAGGCGGUGGAAACUGCAUAGCUAGAGUGUGGUAGGGGUAGAGGGAAUUCCCAGUGUAGCGGUGAAAUGCGUAGAUAUUGGGAAGAACACCGGUGGCGAAGGCGCUCUACUGGGCCACAACUGACACUGAUGGACGAAAGCUAGGGGAGCGAAUGGG